rnacentral:sRNA from 1 species
CCAUAGCCCCGAUUGCAGCGGCAUCCUUUUUUGUCUUUCUGCUAAAGUUCUUUUUUUGACAUAAUGUCGAAGACAAAAAAGAUAUAGCGGAAAGCGGGAUUAAGC